CAGCCGUAAACUAUGCGCGUUAGGUGUAUCGGUGACCACGAGUCACCGAGGUGCCGAAGGGAAACCGUGAAACGUGCCGCCUGGGAAGUACGGGUCGCAAGGCUGAAACUUAAAGGAAUUGGCGGGGGAGCACCGACAACGGGUGGAGCCUGCGGUUUAAUUGGACUCAAACGCCGGGAAGCUCACCGGAUAAGACAGCGGAAUGAUUGCCGGGCUGAAGACUCUGCAUGACUAGCUGAGAGGAGGUGCAUGGCGUAGACGUCU
rnacentral:rRNA from 1 species